GACGAGGUGGCCGAGUGGUUAAGGCGAUGGACUGCAGAUCCACAAGGUCUCCCGCGGGUUCGAAUCCCAUCCCUCGUCG